rnacentral:misc_RNA from 1 species
ACUGACGAUGGGGACUACAACAUCAAACUGCGCAAUAUCAAGCGCUUUUUGGAAGAAGGCGACAAGUGCAAGAUUACCUUGCGCUUUCGCGGUCGUGAAAUCACGCACCAGGAACUGGGCUUGGCCCUGCUGGCGCGUAUCCGCGACGAGUUGGCUGAUUUGAUUGUGGUGGAGCAAUUCCCCAAGCUUGAAGGCAGGCAGAUGGUCAUGAUGAUCGCGCCGGGCCGUAAAAAGCCGGGUGGCGCCAAGUCGGCAGCCGAUGCGGCUCCAGCUCCGGCACCGUCCGCAGCCUGAGGCCGGUGGGUAGAGAAAAGAUCAGGGGCGCUUAGCUGCGUU